AGUGAACGCUGGCGGUAGGCCUAACACAUGCAAGUCGAACGGCAGCACAGUAAGAGCUUGCUCUUACGGGUGGCGAGUGGCGGACGGGUGAGGAAUACAUCGGAAUCUACUUUUUCGUGGGGGAUAACGUAGGGAAACUUACGCUAAUACCGCAUACGACCUACGGGUGAAAGCAGGGGAUCUUCGGACCUUGCGCGAUUGAUUGAGCCGAUGUCGGAUUAGCUAGUUGGCGGGGUAAAGGCCCACCAAGGCGACGAUCCGUAGCUGGUCUGAGAGGAUGAUCAGCCACACUGGAACUGAGACACGGUCCAGAAUCCUAAGGGAGGCAGCAGUGGGGAAUAUUGGACAAUGGGCGCAAGCCUGAUCCAGCCAUACCGCGUGGGUGAAGAAGGCCUUCGGGUUGUAAAGCCCUUUUGUUGGGAAAGAAAAGCAGCAGGUUAAUACCCCGCUGUUCUGACGGUACCCAAAGAAUAAGCACCGGCUAACUUCGUG
rnacentral:rRNA from 1 species